AGUUUGAUCCUGGCUCAGAUUGAACGCUGGCGGCACGCUUUACACAUGCAAGUCGAACGGCAGCGCAGGAGUGCUUGCACUCCUGGCGGCGAGUGGCGGACGGGUGAGUAACGCAUGGGAAUAUGCCCGACAGAGGGGGAUAACCUUGGGAAACCAAGGCUAAUACCGCAUAACCUCUACGGAGAAAAGCGGGGGAUCUUCGGACCGCGCACUGACGGAGUAGCCCAUGUCCGAUUAGCUUGUUGGCGGGGUAACAGCCCACCAAGGCGAUGAUCGGUAGCUGGUCUGAGAGGAUGAUCAGCCACACCGGGACUGAGACACGGCCCGGACUCCUACGGGAGGCAGCAGUGGGGAAUAUUGGACAAUGGGGGAAACCCUGAUCCAGCGAUGCCGCGUGAGUGAAGAAGGCCUUCGGGUUGUAAAGCUCUUUCGCAGGGGAAGAAAAGGUAUUGAUGAAUAAUCAAUGCUGCUGACGGUACCCUGAU
rnacentral:rRNA from 1 species